rfam:Schistosoma margrebowiei strain Zambia genome assembly, scaffold: SMRZ_contig0000343
GCACUGUAGAGGAGUUCCAUACUAGGACGAAACGGCCGUCCAGUGC